GGUUAGGAUCGGGUAAUCUGCAUCCUGAGGUUUAGAUCAGCACAUAUACUUGUUGUAUCUGGUCCUUGGGGUGCGGAUUACCUCGUCCUCACC
rnacentral:pre_miRNA from 1 species